rnacentral:misc_RNA from 1 species
AACGCACAUUGCGCCCGCCAGCACUCUGGCGGGCAUGCCUGUCCGAGCGUCAUUUCAACCCUCGAGCCCCCCCGGGGGCCCGGCGUUGGGGGUCGGCCCCGGCCGCCCCCGAAAUGCAGUGGCGACCUCGCCGCAGCCUUCCCCUGCGUAGUAGCACACACCUCGCACCGGGAGCGCGGAGAAGGUCACGCCGUGAAACACGCACCAGCUUUUCAAGAGUUGACCUCGGAUCAGGUAGGAAUACCCGCUGAACUUAA